rnacentral:rRNA from 1 species
CCUACGGGUGGCAGCAGUAGGGAAUAUUGGACAAUGGGGGCAACCCUGAUCCAGCCAUGCCGCGUGUGUGAAGAAGGCCCUCGGGUUGUAAAGCACUUUCAGUGAGGAAGAACGCCUGGUGGUUAAUACCCAUCAGGAAAGACAUCACUCACAGAAGAAGCACCGGCUAACUCCGUGCCAGCAGCCGCGGUAAUACGGAGGGUGCGAGCGUUAAUCGGAAUUACUGGGCGUAAAGCGCGCGUAGGUGGCUUGAUAAGCCGGUUGUGAAAGCCCCGGGCUCAACCUGGGAACGGCAUCCGGAACUGUCAAGCUAGAGUGCAGGAGAGGAAGGUAGAAUUCCCGGUGUAGCGGUGAAAUGCGUAGAGAUCGGGAGGAAUACCAGUGGCGAAGGCGGCCUUCUGGACUGACACUGACACUGAGGUGCGAAAGCGUGGGUAGCAAACAGGAUUAGAUACCCUUGUAGUC